UCCAGACUCCUACGGGAGGCAGCAGUGGGGGAUAUUGCACAAUGGGGGGAACCCUGAUGCAGCGACGCCGCGUGGGUGAAGGAGCGUUUCGGCGCGUAAAGCCCUAUCGGCAGGGAAGAAGGAGGACGGUACCUGACUAAGAAGCCCCGGCUAACUACGUGCCAGCAGCCGCGGUAAUACGUAGGGGGCAAGCGUUAUCCGGAUUUACUGGGUGUAAAGGGGGCGCAGACGGCAGCGCAAGCCAGGAGUGAAAGCCCGGGGCCCAACCCCGGGACUGCUCUUGGAACUGCGCGGCUGGAGUGCAGGAGGGGCAGGCGGAAUUCCUGGUGUAGCGGUGAAAUGCGUAGAUAUCAGGAGGAACACCGGUGGCGAAGGCGGCCUGCUGGACUGCGACUGACGUUGAGGCCCGAAAGCGUGGGGAGCAAACAGGAUUAGAUACCCGCGUAAA
rnacentral:rRNA from 1 species